rnacentral:misc_RNA from 1 species
UUUCCGUAGGUGAACCUGCGGAAGGAUCAUUGCACACACAAAGUUGCAGCAAACCCCCCUUGCGAAUUUUAUCAUUGUCCCCCCCCUUGGGGGGCUGGGGCGUUGCCGCUAUCCUACUUUCUACGAAAGUGGUGGUGGCGUCGUCCCGGCCUGCCAAACCCAAGUCCCUCAGGGCGGCUUGGGGCUCCCUCGGGGGCCCCUCGUCACCCGCCGGGUCUUGGUGUAACCAACCGAUUGCGCAAUGCAUCAACACCUCCAAAAUGACUGAGUAAAAAAAUCGGGACCCCGCCGCCGCCGCCGCCUUGGUGGUGGUGGUGGUGGUGGUCCCCGAGUUGUAAUAAACAAAAACAACUCUCAGCAACGGAUAUCUUGGCUCUU